rfam:Myotis lucifugus cont2.29328, whole genome shotgun sequence.
GGUGCUUCUCAGGUGAUGUACCCUGGAAUCGGGUUCCCUUCUCUCUGGUUCCCGGUGCAUCACUCGAGAACUGCA